UGGGUUUAAAGGGAGCGUAGGCUGGAGAUUAAGUGUGUUGUGAAGUGUAGACGCUCAACGUCUGACUUGCAGCGCAUACUGGUUUCCUUGAGUACGCACAACGUUGGCGGAAUUCGUCGUGUAGCGGUGAAAUGCUUAGAUAUGACGAAGAACUCCGAUUGCGAAGGCAGCUGACGGGAGUGCAACUGACGCUGAAGCUCGAAGGUGCGGGUAUCGAACAGGAUUAGAUACCCUGGUAGUCCGCACAGUAAACGAUGGAUGCCCGCUGUUGGUACCUGGUAUCAGCGGCUAAGCGAAAGCAUUAAGCAUCCCACCUGGGGAGUACGCCGGCAACGGUGAAACUCAAAGGAAUUGACGGGGGCCCGCACAAGCGGAGGAACAUGUGGUUUAAUUCGAUGAUACGCGAGGAACCUUACCCGGGCUUGAAUUGCAGAGGAAGGAUUUAGAGAUAAUGACGCCCUUCGGGGUCUCUGUGAAGGUGCUGCAUGGUUGUCGUCAGCUCGUGUCGUGAG
rnacentral:rRNA from 1 species